rnacentral:tRNA from 2 species
GCCCGAAUAGCUCAGUUGGUAGAGCAGGGGACUGAAAAUCCCCGUGUCGGUGGUUCAAUUCCACCUUCGGGCA